AACAAUCUAAAUAGAAAGACGUAUACAUCAGUACAUAAACAAUGGUUGAUAACUUGUAAUAUAAACAAUCGAUAGAUCUAUUGGAAUAGUGAUUUAACUUUUCGCGGCAUUUUUAACAUUUCUAUUUUAAGACAUAUUCAGAUAUGCGCAUAUGCAGUUGUUUUUGUUGCCAAAGUUUGAAUAUCCGCUUUCGAGACCACAAGGUGAUUCUAAACUAAGACUACAGAGUUUUUAUCAAUAUCUUUCCUGUAUACAGCUUUUAUAUUUUACCAUGUCAUCAUGAAGACCUAUGGAAUCACGGAACAACAAGUGUCUGACCAAACAACAACCGUUCUAAAAUGGGCUCCAAAAAGAAAAGAUGGGAGAAGAAAGAAGUUGAGGUUUUCAAUAUUAAUAAAUAAAUUUAUUUUAAUUUUAUCGUAUUGAAUAUUUCUCUAUAAUCAGUGGUUGGACAUUAGAAUACAUGGAUUAGGAACAGCAAACUUUGUUUUAUAUUUUGAUCACUCAGAUAUUUAGAAUAGACAUUGGGCAAAAAGUAUAUGUAUUAAGGGUUGUGUGCUUUCAAAAAUUAGGAUAGUUCAAUAUUGGCAAUAUUUUUUUUUUGUUUGCUGAUUUUUCCAAUAUUUCUCUGGGAUGAUAACUUGUGUUUUUAUAUGCAUAUCAUUAAAAUUAAUAAAUUUAUUUUAAUUUUAUCGUA